AACGUAGGGGACAAGCGUUAUCCGGAUUUACUGGGCGUAAAGCGCCCGUAGGCGGCCUGACAAGUUGGACGUGAAAGCUCCUGGCUUAACUGGGAGAGGCCGUUCAAAACUGUCAAGCUAGAGUCUGGAAGAGGAGAGCGGAAUUCCCGGUGUAGUGGUGGAAUGCGUAGAGAUCGGGAGGAACACCAGUGGCGAAAGCGGCUGGCUGGACCUGACCUGACGCUGAGGCGCGAAGGCGUGGGGAGCGAACGGG
rnacentral:rRNA from 1 species